GAUGAACGCUAGCGGCAGGCUUAACACAUGCAAGUCGAGGGGCAGCGGAGAAUUGCUUGCAAUUCAGACGGCGACCGGCGAACGGGUGCGUAACGCGUAUAGAACCUACCUUUUACAGAGGGAUACCCCAUGGAAACGUGGACUAAUACCUCAUAGUAUCAACUGAUGGCAUCAUGUGGUUGAUUAAAGAUUUAUCGGUAAAAGAUGGCUAUGCGUCCUAUUAGCUAGAUGGUAAGGUAACGGCUUACCAUGGCAAUGAUAGGUAGGGGUCCUGAGAGGGAGAUCCCCCACACUGGUACUGAGACACGGACCAGACUCCUACGGGAGGCAGCAGUGAGGAAUAUUGGUCAAUGGAGGCAACUCUGAACCAGCCAUGCCGCGUGCAGGAUGACUGCCCUAUGGGUUGUAAACUGCUUUUAUACAGGAAGAAACGGCGCCACGUGUGGUGCUUUGACGGUACUGUAAGAAUAAGGACCGGCUAACUCCGUGCCAGCCGCCGCCGUAACAC
rnacentral:rRNA from 1 species